GACGAACGCUGGCGGCGUGCUUAACACAUGCAAGUCGAACGGAAAGGCCCUGCUUUUGUGGGGUGCUCGAGUGGCGAACGGGUGAGUAACACGUGAGUAACCUGCCCUUGACUUUGGGAUAACUUCAGGAAACUGGGGCUAAUACCGGAUAGGAGCUCCUGCUGCAUGGUGGGGGUUGGAAAGUUUCGGCGGUUGGGGAUGGACUCGCGGCUUAUCAGCUUGUUGGUGGGGUAGUGGCUUACCAAGGCUUUGACGGGUAGCCGGCCUGAGAGGGUGACCGGGCCAAAUGGGGAUUGAGUACGGGCCCGGACUCCUACGGGGGGCGGGGGGGGGGAUUUUGGCAAAAGGGGGGGAGGCCGGAGGGCGCAACGCCGGGUGGGGGAGGAGGGCUUUCGGGUGGAAAACCGGUUUCGCCUGGGACGAAGGGUGGGUGAGGGUAAGGGGUAAAGAGGAACCGGCAAACUACGU
rnacentral:rRNA from 1 species